AUUAGGAUUAGGAGCUUCCCUUAAUCAAACCCGGCUUUUGGUCCGAAGACUGAAUUCCUCAGCGAAUUGUCUAUUACGCCAAGUCAAUCCGAAGUUCGAUUGCCGAUGCUAAUGCAUUACGAGCGAGCUCGACCGUGAGGCCAGCAAAACGCUCAAAAUCCAAACACCUCUUCGAUCAUAAAGAAAGAGGAGGGUUGAAGUAUUCAUGACACUCAAACAGGCAUGCUCCACGGAAUACCAUGGAGCGCAAGGUGCGUUCAAAGAUUCGAUGAUUCACUGAAUUCUGCAAUUCACAUUACUUAUCGCAUUUCGCUGCGUUCUUCAUCGAUGCGAGAGCCAAGAGAUCCGUUGUUGAAAGUUAUAUUUUGUUAUAAAAUUAAAUACAUUCAUAGACUUUGUGUUUAUAAGUGAAUAGGGAUUCGCCCCGAAAGGCUACUACCCCAAACAAAUGCACAGGGUUAGAAAGGAUCAUUAGUGAACAUAGGACGUCCAACUUAACUUGGAGUCCGAACUCUCACUUUCUAACCCUGUGCAUUUGUUUGGGGUAGUAGCCUUUCGGGGCGAAUCCCUAUUCACUUAUAAACACAAAGUCUAUGAAUGUAUUUAAUUUUAUAACAAAAUAAAACUUUCAACAACGGAUCUCUUGGCUCUCGCAUCGAUGAAGAACGCAGCGAAAUGCGAUAAGUAAUGUGAAUUGCAGAAUUCAGUGAAUCAUCGAAUCUUUGAACGCACCUUGCGCUCCAUGGUAUUCCGUGGAGCAUGCCUGUUUGAGUGUCAUGAAUACUUCAACCCUCCUCUUUCUUUAUGAUCGAAGAGGUGUUUGGAUUUUGAGCGUUUUGCUGGCCUCACGGUCGAGCUCGCUCGUAAUGCAUUAGCAUCCGCAAUCGAACUUCGGAUUGACUUGGCGUAAUAGACUAUUCGCUGAGGAAUUCUAGUCUUCGGACUAGAGCCGGGUUGGAUUAAAGGAAGCUCCUAAUCCUAAUGUCUAUUUUUAAGAUUAGAUCUCAAAUCAGGUAGGACUACCCGCUGAACUUAAGCAUAUCAAUA
rnacentral:misc_RNA from 1 species